UUUGUUGCUUAUAAAAGGUUUCUCAUAGUUGAUAGUAGUGCAGAACACAAGGUGGCUGUAAAGGUUUGACACCAAAUUAAGAAAUUAUGGAGGAAGGCAACAGCUCAUUCAAAUUUUCAGGUAAGAAAAAGAAGUCAGAUCUUGCAAAACUUCAAAAGGAACAUGAUGAGAAAAUGGCAGCCAUAAAAGAGCUUAAGAAAAAGAGAGAAGAAAUGAAGCUUCAAUUGUCAAAGGAGAAUAUUUCUGAGGAAAAGAAAGAGACUUUCAGAAAAUUGACUGAGAAAUAUAAAAAAAUGAAUGAUGAAUAUAAUUCCCUUUUAGGUUAGUUUAAAGGGAAAAGAGUAGUAUCUUACUAAUAAAAUUUAUUUUUCGUCGUUUCAUAAUGUAUCGUUUUAUAUUAUACUAGUUAUUAUGUUAUAUAUUGUAUCAUGCAUGUUCUUGAAUCAACAACAAUAUACCUUGU